rnacentral:rRNA from 1 species
AGGGUUUGAUUCUGGCUCAGGAUGAACGCUGGCGGCGUGCUUAACACAUGCAAGUCGAACGGGAAUUACUUUAUUGAAACUUCGGUCGAUUUAAUUUAAUUCUAGUGGCGGACGGGUGAGUAACGCGUGGGUAACCUGCCUUAUACAGGGGGAUAACAGUCAGAAAUGGCUGCUAAUACCGCAUAAGCGCACAGAGCUGCAUGGCUCGGUGUGAAAAACUCCGGUGGUAUAAGAUGGACCCGCGUUGGAUUAGCUUGUUGGUGGGGUAACGGCCCACCAAGGCGAUGAUCCAUAGCCGGCCUGAGAGGGUGAACGGCCACAUUGGGACUGAGACACGGCCCAG